UUCRGSAGAGGAGCGACCGAUGGAAUGCGAGUGGAUCAAUUUUCACCUCCGUAUGUCGGAACGCUCCCGCGUCCUUGGCUCGGAUUUUGGCCAACCGUUUGCGUAAAGCACACGGGAGACCAGCUUCCGUCCCGGAUCACCUAAAGAUGAGGGGGGAAKAAAAAUUGUUACACCCCAGGAAAAGUGCCCUCGGACAAAAAGCUUCGGGGCCCACUUGCGUUCCAASACUCGACGGUUCGUGGGAKUCUGCAAUUUACACCAAGUUUCGCCUUUCGACUCGUUCUUCAUCCAUGCGAGAACCGAGAUAACCGUUGCCGAGAAGCGAUUUGCAAUUUUUGGUG
rnacentral:misc_RNA from 1 species